GUAAAUCUCACUUUGUGUUUUUAUACAUUAAACAACACACACGUAUCGGCACAUAGGCCGGGGUGCCCUUCAGCGCAGGUUGCGGGGUCGGUUUUAUGGGAUACGUGGAGGCAUAACC
rnacentral:sRNA from 1 species